CUCAGUGUAUAGAACUGGUGAUCUAUGAUGUCAUCUGCGUCUCAAGACUAUCACUAGAUGACAAGGACAGGGACUGAGUAUAUCUCAAUCGCCUUCCAGCAUUUAAGGUGUUACACACUGUGUUUAGAAGACAAGUUAUUUCACAUGAAUCAUCCUCAUGGCAGGAAUCCAGGGCCCAGAUGCCUGGCCACUGCAUGAGCCAGGACCUCACUGGUGCCUAGAAAGGACCCUGUCUAUGCCAUGUCUACAGGAUGAGUCGGGACAGACAGCCUGCACACUCCCCACUGCCAUCGUCCCUGCUGAGAUUGCCCUGCAGAUAUGCUGUUCCUCUCCUGAC